AGGUUCAAAAGAGACGGGAAACCCCAGAGAGAAAAGGCCGAAAGAAGAUGAAGGUGCAGGAAAGGAAGCGUGGGAAGACAAGUAUUAUUGACACCAGUGACCAUGUUCAUCUGCUUCUGUGGGAUGUUGCAGUUUGCCUUCCAGCUAGGAACAUACAUGGCUUACCCUUGAAACUGAAAGCUGUGACAGCAGGAAAGAAAGUCGGGAGAAAAAACCCACCAUUGCCUAAGCCAAAAAGAUGUGCGAACAAG